GUCGUAACAAGGUUUCCGUAGGUGAACCUGCGGAAGGAUCAUUAGUGAAUAUUAGGGUGCUCUUCUCUGCGGAAGCGAUUAGAGGCCUGACCUCCACUGUCCAACUCUGUGCACUGUAGCGAGUAUGUCAACCUUGGGGUUAUUCCCCCCGAGUCCUACUUGCAAACCUAUUUUAACACUAGUCGAAGAAUGUAAACCAAAUCAUAACAAAAAAAAACUUUCAACAACGGAUCUCUUGGCUCUCGCAUCGAUGAAGAACGCAGCGAAAUGUGAUAAGUAAUGUGAAUUGCAGAAUUCAGUGAAUCAUCGAAUCUUUGAACGCACCUUGCGCUCUCUGGUAUUCCGGAGAGCAUGCCUGUUUGAGUGUCAUGAACUCUUCAACCCACCAGUUUCUUGUUAGACUGCGUUGGUGUUUGGUUUCUGAACGUUGCCGGCUCUGUCAUGGAACCCUUGGCUCGUUUCGAAUGUAUUAGCAUCUCAAUUUCGAAAUUUGGAUUGACUCAGCGUAAUAGACUAUUCGCUGAGGACACCUUUCGGGUGGCCGAAUAUCAGAUAACGAUCGACGCUUACAGCACUCUAUCUAGUCAACUCUUUUAAGAUUAGACCUCAGAUCAGGCAGGAUUACCCGCUGAACUUAAGCAUAUCAAUAAGCGGAGGAAAAGAAACUAACAAGGAUUCCCCUAGUAACGGCGAGUGAAGCGGGAAGAGCUCAAAUUUGUAAUCUGGUACCUUCGGUGCCCGAGUUGUAAUCUCGAGAAGUGUUUUCCGCGCCGGACCGCAUACAAGUCUGUUGGAAUACAGCGUCAUAGUGGUGAGAACCCCGUACAUGAUGCGGAUGCCUGGUGCUCUGUGAUACACUUUCGAAGAGUCGAGUUGUUUGGGAAUGCAGCUCAAAUUGGGUGGUAAAUUCCAUCUAAAGCUAAAUAUUGGCGAGAGACCGAUAGCGAACAAGUACCGUGAGGGAAAGAUGAAAAGCACUUUGGGAAGAGAGUUAACAGUACGUGAAAUUGUUGGAAGGGAAACGCUUGAAGUCAGACUUGCUAUUUGGAGUUCGCUUCGAUUUGCAGGCCAGCAUCAGUUUUCGGGGGGUUGGAAAAGGGUAUUGAGAACGUGGCAGUCUCGGCUGUAUUAUAGCUCUUUACUGGAUUCGCCCUUGGGGACUGAGGGACGCAGUGCAUUUCUUGGUCUUCGGGCCUUUUGUACUUAGGAUGCUGGUGGAAUGGCUUUAAACGACC
rnacentral:rRNA from 1 species